CCUACGGGAGGCAGCAGUGAGGAAUAUUGGUCAGUGGACGAGAGUCUGAACCAGCCAAGUAGCGUGAAGGAUGACUGCCCUAUGGGUUGUAAACUUCUUUUAUAUGGGAAUAAAACGUUCCACGUGUGGGAUUUUGUAUGUACCAUAUGAAUAAGGAUCGGCUAACUCCGCGCCAGCAGCCGCGGUAAUACGGAGGAUCCGAGCGUUAUCCGGAUUUAUUGGGUUUAAAGGGAGCGUAGGUGGAUUGUUAAGUCAGUUGUGAAAGUUUGCGGCUCAACCGUAAAAUUGCAGUUGAAACUGGCAGUCUUGAGUACAGUAGAGGUGGGCGGAAUUCGUGGUGUAGCGGUGAAAUGCUUAGAUAUCACGAAGAACUCCGAUUGCGAAGGCAGUUCACUGGACUGCAACUGACACUGAGGCUCGAAAGUGUGGGUAUCAAACAGGAUUAGAUACCCUUGUAGUC
rnacentral:rRNA from 1 species